GGUGGCCUGGGCGGGCAGCGCGGCCGCGUUGUGCGCGGCGCGGCAGGGGCGGUUCGACGACGUCGAGCCGUUG
rnacentral:tRNA from 1 species